rnacentral:snoRNA from 1 species
ACCUGUUUGCCAACACUCUGGUGCCGAAUCAAAAAGAUUUUAUAUAUUUCUUUUUCGAUAUAUUCGGUUCCUAUUUUGGAGCAAACUAGAUUGAUUUAGCCAAUUACUCACCAUAAUAUUCGUGAUUUAUUUAAAAAAAAUUUUUUUUUUAGAUUAAGAUGAAUAUGAUGGUCCAUUUCAGUGGCGUAAAU